rnacentral:rRNA from 1 species
UACGAAGGGGGCUAGCGUUGCUCGGAAUCACUGGGCGUAAAGCGCACGUAGGCGGAUUGCUAAGUCAGGGGUGAAAUCCUGGAGCUCAACUCCAGAACUGCCCUUUGAUACUGGCGAUCUCGAGUCCGGGGAGAGGUGAGUGGAACUGCGAGUGUAGAGGUGAAAUUCGUAGAUAUUCGCAAGAACACCAGUGGCGAAGGCGGCUCACUGGCCCGGUACUGACGCUGAGGUGCGAAAAGCGUGGGGAGCAA